CGCUAACAUUGUCUUAAAAUUUGCAAUAAUUUCAUUUUGAAUGACUUUGUUUAAACCUAUAACCUUUAACAUCUGAUAUUUUUAUUAUCUAGAGCUCUGUAAAAAAAAAAAAAUAUGUAAAAAAAAAGAAGAAAUAACAAAAAAUAAUAUGAAAACAAAAUUGUAAACAGAGUUCUAGAUAAUAAACAUUGAGGGUGGUGUAAAAAGUAGGCAUAUUUAAAAUUUGUUUAUUAUUAUGAAUAGUGCACUGUAUAAUUUGUAAAAUGUUUAUUGUGAAGUCUUGGAAAAUUGUGAAACUUUAGAACUGUGUUUAUUUGAGAUGUUUAUAUUCAAUCUUCAAUGAUGAUCAUGGCAAUGGAGGACAAUAGAAUAUUGCUCUAAGAUGAAACUGACUUUUUUAUAUCAAGAAAGAUCCAACAACAGUAAUCAAUGAUAUCUACAAAGACAAAAGACUGAGCUAUAAUACUAGCUAAAUAAAACUGUGAACUUGUAUAAUAACAUGUAUGUUCUAUAGUGAAGAUAGGUUCCUACAUAAUGUUCUAUAGGGAAGACAUGUUCCUACAAACUGUUCUAUAGUGAAGACACGUUCCUACAUAAUGGUCUAUAGUGAAGACAUGUUCCUACAAACUGUUCUAUAGUGAAGACACGUUCCUACAUAAUGGUCUAUAGUGAAGACAUGUUCCUACAUACUGUUCUAGAGAAGACAUGUUCCUACAUAAUGUUCUAUUGUGAAGACAUGUUCCUACAUACUGUUCUAUAGUGAAGACACGUUCCUACAUAAUGUUCUAGAGAAGACAUGUUCCUACAUAAUGUUCUAUACAGAAGACAUUUCUACAUAAUGGUCUAUUGAGAAGACAUGUUCCGACAUAAUGGUCUAUAGUGAAGACAUGUUCUUACAUAAUGUUCUAUGGUGAAGAAAGAUGUUCUAUAGCACAAACAGAUGUUCCUUAGUUGCAAUAAAGUGUUCAGAAGACGGACAGAGUUUCCUUUUGCAAUGAAGUAUCCAGAACUCAUAGCUGAUAAGAUUUCCAGCUCUUCAUUACAUAUUCUGCUGUUUUCUCAAGAAAAACUCAAGGUAUUGAUAGUUUAAGUCUGUAAAAAGUGUAUCAUUUGCACGCAAUUUAAAUUUUUAAUUUAAAUAGCCAAACCUGUUAGUGUGGAUUGAUUGUGUUAUUCUAGUUCUAGCUUUAUGAUCCUCUUUGAAUAUUCAGAUUAAUGUGAGGGAAAUUUCUCCAUUGUAAUAUCUUUUUGAUAGUAUUUUGUAAUUUUUUCUGGUUUUCUUUUCUAUUGAUGAAUAUGAAGAAUUGUGAAAUGUGUAUGACUUGAUGAGAUAAUGGAAAGAAAAAUUAUAUUUAAACUUUCAAUAAAUACUUUUCGACAAUUCUUUUCCUCAGUUGAAAACAUUGAAAAUGCCUAUAAAAACAAUAGCUUAAUAUUUCAUCAGAAUGUAUUGUAAGGCAGCAUGCUAUUUUGAAUGUUGGUUAUCUGUACGAUCAGCCUAAACAGAUUUUACAUAGUAAAAAAAUAAAUUGAAAGCUAACAAGGGGAAAUAAUUUAUCAAAUUUUAAAAGAAAAAUAACAGCAAGCACUUGAAAAAAGCUUAAAAGAAAGAACUGUACCAGGCUUACAUCUUACUGCAAGUUAAAGUUGGCACCAACUACCAAAGUGAGGGAAUUCUUUGCAAAAUGCAAAUCUUUUUUCAACCAUUUAUUGAAAAACUAAUAACGAACAUAAAUAAUAUUGAUAGAAAAAGAAUAAAAAAUAUAUUUAGAAAUAAUUACAUAUUAGCUAUGACAUUUAGAUGAUGUGGUAUGAUUGCCAAUUGAGACAUCUAUAUAGCAGUGACCAAAUGAAAUCAAUUAGUUUGACGAUCUCCUUAUAGAAUUUAAAAAUACAUACGAAAAUCUUAAUUAAAUAGUUUUAAUUUAAUAGAUUAUUUCAAGUCUUAAGUAUGUGAAUGCCAUUCAUAAAAAUGAAUUAUUUUUAUUCCAGAUUUCAAUGUUCAACCUGAAAGUCGAAAUUCUUAAAAUUUAUGCUGGACAUCUCAAAUCAAGGAUCCAUCACAAUACUGGAUAUCUACAGAUAUUAGACUUAUGGAGAAUAUUCUGAUAAAUUAAUGUAAGUGUUUACAUUAAGUAAUCUGGUGGGUUGAUUGUGAUCCCUUAUGUAUACAAUCACCAAAAUUAACAUGGAAUUGGAACCAUUUUACAGCACUAUAAUAGAAGCCAGCAUAUGCUUUUUCAUAUCGAAACAGUCUAUUUUCGAAAUACCUAGUAAUUUCUUGUAAUUGACGGUCAAUCUGUUUGGCAAAUUUGAUUGGAUCGAUAAAAAAGUACUACUGGGGUAAAUGUGAGAUGUAUUGGUCCAAAUAAUGAGUUCAAAUUGUUUCAAGUGUUAUAAGGGUAUUCUCACUUUUUUCAAAAUACUGUAAAAUUCUGAAUAUCCUAGAGCAUGUCAAUCAAUAAAGCAGAUAAAAUAUGGGUUCCCAAUUACCAUCUAGACAAUUUUUUUUGCUAUCUUUUACUGAAGAUUUCUUUUGUCUUUUCUUGUUGUCAUUCCAAAACAAUUAAUUUUCAAGGGUAUUCAGCAGAUUAUUAACUGUUACCUUGUGUAUUGCAAUUAAGAUAACAAGUUAUACCAUGUGCCAAGUAGACAAUUGAUGAUAGGUGUAUUGCUCUUUAUCUAUAAAAGUGGAUACAAAUAUUUCAACAUCAUUCACAUUUAUCUGUCUUAAGAUGCUACUGGUACCAAACUGCUUCACUAAAAUUAGUUUGGCUUGUUUAAUUUUCAGACAAUUUUGUCAAAAUGUUUACUUUGACCAUAUGACAAAAAUAUAAAGAUUUAAAAAAAACUUGGAACCACACACUUUAUCGGCAAAUUUUCAUUAGACAAAUAGCAGUUUGACUAACAACAAUUUUGAUCACUGAGAAGCUUAAUAUUUCCUGAACAAUAGGCUGUAAUUAAAACAUUCAGCUGAUUUUUGCAGAGUUAUCUCCCUGUAAUGUUGUGUACCACCUUAAAUUCAUUUAUUUAUGUCUUUGGGAAUAAAUAAAUAUUGCUAAUCAGAUGAUCCCAAAAACUAAGAAAUAUUUUUCUGUGUUUCAGAUGUACGACAAAUCCUGCUUCAAGUAUUAAACCAGCAAAACUUUUAACUUGAUGGGAGUAAAACAUACCACUGAAUCUCACUUUGUACAAGGUUGAUACUCAGCAAAAUUAUUUAAUGGGAGUAAAACAUGGGAGCAGGAUCUCACCUCAUACAAGGUUGGUAUUCUUUAACUUCCGUAGUGAAUUAAUUAUCUGUCCAUCCAUCUGAUGUCGCAAUAUUCUAAUAAAAAUAAGAAGAUGUGGUAUGAUUGCUGAUGAGACAACUCUCUAUCAGAGACCAAAUGAUGAAGAAGUUAAAAAAAUAUAUAUCUUUCAUGGUUGUCAACUUUGAGUUUCAAUGAGACAGAGCUGCUUAAAACUAUCUGUUUCAUUGGGUCAAGGUAUGAUAUGAUGUGCUGGGAAAUAACCAGUUGAUUUGAGUAACUACUUUCAUUGUUGUUCUUUAUCAUAACAGUUGCUGCAGUGUCUUCAGCUAUGAACUGAAAUGAUUAUGCUUAGCAAUUAUGUCAAGACGACCCCUAUUGCCAACUUGAACAUUGUAUGUUCAAUAAUGGUAACAUUACUCCAACUGGAGGUAUCAACUGUAUUAAAUACAGAGACAAAAUAGAAGAAUAUUAGAAGUGAAAGAAAUUAGUCUAGAUGUAUUUUGGUUAUUUUUCUCAUACACUUCACCUCCCUGUAUUCAUAUCUGCAUGGCUGUAUUAAGAUUUUAAUAUACUGAGCCUGUUGAGCAAACAAAAUCAGGGGAAAUAUUUCUAUGGGGUGUAAUUAAGUAUUAAGAAUAGUACUGAACUGCUCACCAUUGUUGCUGUAAAACCUUCCAAAUUCAAGUGAUGUUCCCAUUUUCUUUUGCAAUUUUUAUUAUCCAAUUGAAUAAACUGAUUAAAUUGUUGUUUGUAGUGAGGAGGGACAAUUGAAGUGAUGAACUUAGAAACAUCUGAUUGUGUACACAAGAAAGACAGAACACAUAGAAUAAGGAAAGAGAAAGAUGAGCUCAUAGAGUAAUGGGUAGAUGAAAUUAGAAAAAAACCACUGAAAAUUAACCAAAAGAGAAAGAGAAAGAUGAGCUCAUAGAGUAAAGGAUAGAUGAAAUUAGAAAAAAAAAAACACUGAAAAUUAACCAACACACCAGCUGACUUAUCACCAACUUAGAUUAGAGCUGAGUCAACUGAUGAACAUAGUCAAC
rnacentral:lncRNA from 1 species